UACGUAGGGGGCAAGCGUUGUCCGGAUUUAUUGGGCGUAAAGAGCGUGUAGGCGGCCAUACAGGUCCGUUGUGAAAACUGGAGGCUUAACCUCCAGACGUCGAUGGAAACCGUAUGGCUAGAGUCCGGAAGAGGAGAGUGGAAUUCCUGGUGUAGCGGUGAAAUGCGCAGAUAUCAGGAAGAACACCGGAGGCGAAGGCGGCUCACUGGGGCUUGUCUGACGCUGAGGAACGAAAGCCAGGGGAGCGAACGGG
rnacentral:rRNA from 1 species